AAAGAAAGAAAGAAACAAAAAAUAUCUAAAACUAAUUAUUAUUUGCUACUUUUCUUUCAGACAAUGACGAAAGCAGAUAUUUUAAAGACAGCAAGAUUUCUACGCUAACGCCAAGUUGUAUUGAAAUGCUUUAUCAUUUUUUCUGGUAUUCUAGGAUGGUUAAGUAGUGUCGCCACAAGUAUCAAUGUAGCUAACGUUGCCAACGUUACAGAUAGUGGACCCAGCAUAAAGACGUAUUACAUCACAGCAUUUUACGUUUACGUUGCUGACGUCGACAGGAUUAGGAAACGUGUCACCAAAUACUAACGCCGAGAAAAUAUUCUCAAUAUUUGCUGUUCUGCUUGGUUGAUAGCCUCGUGUCUUAACUGUGCAGUGCGCCCCCUGGUGACACAUUGAUGCAUCCGGAUGAUACACAGCCAGCUUUCUGUUUGAUAGCAUGCGGUUCAUUGCAGAUUGUGACAGCAAAAAUGAUAUUAUGGCGAUAAGAGGAUGGUUAGAUACUGCAGCGACGAGAAUCAUUGAAGCUUACGUUGCCAACGUUACAGAUAGUGGACCCAGCAUAAAGACGUAUUACAUCACAGCGUUAUAUUUUACGUUUACGUGACUGACGUCAAUAGGAUUCGGAAAUGUGUCACCAAAUACUAAGGAAUUGACAUGCCGGUAAAGAUGAUAUAUUUGGUGGUGACUGCAGUGACGUGGAAUGCUCGGGAAAAUCGUUCUAUUUUGUACGUGCCCUUAGUUACUGUGAUAUUAACAAAAUAGAAUUACACGUGCUGAAAGAAACAAUGGAUAUAUAACCAGAAUUUUCAAAAAGAAUGAAUGGGUAAAAUACAAGUGACAUUCAAUCUUAAGGUAAGUAUAAAGUAAUAUAAUCCAUCCUAGCAAUGAACAAGUCUCAAUUUCAAAAUUGUUCCGAACUUUAAGAAAAAGUUUUACAAUCUUUGUUUUACAUUCUGAAAUUAUUUAUAAAUUAGGUACCACAGAUGUAACAAACGCAC